rnacentral:rRNA from 1 species
GACAGAGGGUGCUAGCGUUGUUCUGAAUUACUGGGCGUAAAGGGCGCGUAGGCGGCCCGUUUAGUCGGGUGUGAAAUCCCAAGGCUCAACCUUGGAACUGCAUUCGAUACUGGCGGGCUAGAGACCGGAAGAGGUGGGUGGAAUACCCAGUGUAGAGGUGAAAUUCGUAGAUAUUGGGUGGAACACCGGUGGCGAAGGCGGCUCACUGGUCCGGUUCUGACGCUGAGGAGCGAAAGCGUGGGGAGCGAACAGG